AUUGAACGCUGGCGGCAUGCCUUACACAUGCAAGUCGAACGGCAGCACGGGGCAACCUGGUGGCGAGUGGCGAACGGGUGAGUAAUGCAUCGGAACGUGCCAUUGAGUGGGGGAUAACGUAGCGAAAGUUGCGCUAAUACCGCAUAUUCUGUGAGCAGGAAAGCAGGGGGACCGCAAGGCCUUGCGCUCUUUGAGCGGCCGAUGUCAGAUUAGCUAGUUGGUGAGGUAACGGCUUACCAAGGCGACGAUCUGUAGCGGGUCUGAGAGGAUGAUCCGCCACACUGGAACUGAGACACGGUCCAGACUCCUACGGGAGGCUGCAGUGGGGAAUUUUGGACAAUGGGCGCAAGCCUGAUCCAGCCAUGCCGCGUGAGUGAAGAAGGCC
rnacentral:rRNA from 1 species